rnacentral:lncRNA from 1 species
GGCAGGGGAGGCGGGCGACGAGGGCAGGCAACAGUCGGCCCGUCGCGAUGUGGUGAAGCUACAGGGAAGAGGGAGGAGGUCGGCGAUAGGGUGAAGGAGUAGGCCGGCCCUCGUGGAGGCUGCGCUGCCGGCCGGCCAGGGAGGCGGCCCGGCUCGCCUCUGCCUCCACCCUCACCUCCUUUUCCAUGCCUCUUCCUCUGCAUAGUAGCAUGUGCGAGGUUGCGGGCACAGGCAACCAUGGGCAAAUUUUGGGGAGACGCCAAGAUGAGCUUCCCCUCUGUUCCAUGCCCUAAUCUCUCUCUAAAGAUUUGUGUAGCCUAAAUGUCUCUGUACCGUGUAAGCAGGCCCAACCUAAUGCACACCAUCGGCCUGAUGAAUGACCAAAUGAUUUGUUUUUGUUGCCAUAUAGACUAUUGACUGGUGUGUAGGAGCCCUUCUAAUUGGUGUUCUAUGUGUGUUUUCUUUUGUUCUGUUGCAGAAUAAUAAUUCAAGUGGAUGGCCGAUGAGUCUUGUUGUUUAGCGGUAUGAUGGUCGGUGAAAGUAUGUUCUAUGUAUAUUGCAAGGUGAUGGGCUGCUGACUUUUGUUGUCCACUUCUACUGAUUUCUACCCACUUGCUUAAUUUGAUAUCUGCUGUAUAAGUAAUGGCCCUAUUAUACAGUACAUAAAAAAUGACCCGUCUUAUAUUCCAAAAGAAUGGUUUUGCUAUGCGCUGCUUGGAAUCAUCAGUGUUCGUUAUUUUUGUUCAGAUUUGUUAUGUACGCAUGGUAGAUCUUUCUAGGUUCUACUUUCUUAUUCUUCAGCCAUAAUUCAGUUCAUGUCACCAAGUUGCAGCCAUACCAAAGUGCAGACAUUUAAAUAUUUUAGAACAGAACAAUUAGAUGAUUUUAAUUCUGAGUGCAUAAAUGCUUUGGUUAAUGGUUUAGAAAUGCAUUGCGUAUGUAGUUAUGUUAACAUGUUUGCUAGAGGGAUCAGAAUGGUCUUUGAGUCGUUCAAAACUGAAGGGAGCACCGAGGUAUCACAUUUGCAAAAUCAUGCAUAUGCAGGAGCACGGCAGUCUAGCGACCUAAAUUUCUCCCCAACUUAUGUCUUUUUGUUCAGUCCAGAAUUUCAGGUUUCCCGUGGUUUCUGUUGCCAAGGUUUUAUCUUUAUUUUCGUGCUGCGCAGAUGAUUUCUGUUGAAGCCGAGCCAAUUGAGAUCCAAGAGCCUCCUCCAUCUUACCCUCCUCACCAAGGAGGUCGGAUUGAUCUAGGAUCUUUUUCCUUAAUUUUGAGGUCCUCCCUUGGCCCCUCUACUUGGCUCUCCUCUGUCUUGUUUCUCCUCUAUAAAAAAAUAUGGAAACUACCACGAGAGAUAAUUGCGGCUUGCUGCUCUUCGCUGCAGAAUAUCACAAAGAAGUAUAUCAGUUGGCAUCCUCCCAGAAGAAGAGAAGUCAACAUACAAAGAAAAAAUCAUGGCCAAACUUUUUUAAACCAUAAGCAACUUGUUAUGAUGUGAUGAUACCUGGUCAAGCUUUUCUCAUUUUUCUGAAAACUCAUUUAUCAAGUGAAUCUACUAUGCCAAGGAAGUAGGGAGCGACCAAUGGUUUCACUUAUUGGAGGGGAGACGCGGAAUCAGCGCACUGCCUGACCCCAAAGGCUUGAGGGAGCGGGUCUCCUGUAGGGAAAUAGCAAGCAUUGCAUAAUUUCCUUUAAAUAAUCAAAUCUCAAUUAAAUCAAGUAUAUGACCAUGUAUUUUUAUCAAAUAAGCCAGAAAAAAAGAAAUACAACACCACAAAACCCCUAGAAGUGUCAUAGAAAUUGUGCUUCAGAAUUAUUUGUCAAUCCCAUGCAGCUAUCUUGCCAUGGAAAUAAUCUCAUAUCAAUAUACGUUCAGAACUAUAUCCAUCAUAGCGUCCUUCCAGCUUCACUUACAGGCACCUGCUUGUUAUUUACCCAACUAAUAGUUGUUGCUUGGUAAUAAAGAAAAGAUAGCUAGAUAAACAAUUAGUCCAGUAGACCAUAUGCUUAUUGUUUUAUACACACUCACUUCAUUUCCAAAUAAUCUUUUAUGCAAACUCGCUUGGUACCUACAUAAGAAAUCAACAUUAUCAGUUUCUUGUGACUAUAACUCAUAGUUGAGGUAAAGGUGUACUCACCAAGUCUGGUGGUAUAUUUUAUCUAUUAUUUUUUUGCCUUUAGAAACUACUCGUUGAUGCUGUGGAGUAUGGAGUCGUUCAAACAAAUGUAUAAAAUGUAUGGAUAUGGUGCUGGGUGAAACUAUAGUACAUGAUGUGGAAGGUCUCCAUGGAGAUUCAUAGAUCAUUGCUUAAAUUCUCAAAAUGAAUCUUACUUAAAUUCCCUGGUUAGAUUCUUCAGUUGCAGGAAAAGUACUACUUGGUUCUUCUCUUUAACUAGAGUGCUAUUGUGAAUUUGUGAUAGUCAUUUUUCAUCUACUGUGUCUCAGGUGGAUGUUCUAAAAGCUGCAUUUUCUCUGAUAAAAAAUAAUGUGUUUCAUCAAACUUUGCUGGGGGACCACAUGCAUAUUAAUUGUGCCUGUUCUGUAUGGUCCUUGAGAUAGAACUUCAACAUCUGUCUCUCAUGUUUCUGCAUCUUCUAUCUCUUCUGAAAGUAUCCAGGACCUGCCCAAGAUGCAGAAACAUGGACAUCGAAUAAGUUUUCUGUUUCAAUAAAUCCGCUUGAGCUUUCUCUACACUCAGGAUCAACCAGAUUCCACUCUUACAUCUGUUUAGCACUUCAUUUCCAUGUGCAAUUCCUUGCUUUGACUUGUCUCAUAACCAUAUUGAGUCCUGUCUAGACCAAACAUGUAUCAUAUAAUACCUCCUGUUACAGUAUCGUUGAAACUUAAGCGCUGACUGUAGUGCGAUCACCCUGUGUGUAAGCUUGCUGGUUGCGCCAGCAGAAAAUUGUAUCAGCUCUGUCAGACCGUAGGUGAUGCUGAGUGCUGAGCUGCAGAUCAUUCCUCUAGGAUGUGUAUACCUUUCCUUUUUUUUUUUGCGGGAGGAUGUGUAUACCUUUCCAUUCCCAUGUUCUACUUAUUUAUUUGAUUAGUCAAAUAUAAUAUCAGAUAUUCAUGUGAAAUAAGACUGGUUAAUUGUAGCAAUUCAUACAUAAUUUUUCAGUAUACUUCAUAUUCUGUUUAAGAGAAAUAAAUUAGAAAGGCAUAUGAUUGUCCAGGCAAGCUGUAUGAUGUAAGCACUGGCGGAGGAGAAAACUUUAUAGGCUAAUCAAGUGGCCGUUUUGUCCACUUUUAUGGAAGCUGACUCUCCAAAUUUUGUGCUUUCUAUGAACACUCAAAGUUCCUUGUUGUAAGCAAUCUUACAAUACUGAACUUUAUUAUGC